UGUGGGAGCGAGCCUGCUCGCGAUGACGGCAGGACAGUCAAUGAUGUAUUGACUGUCAGGUCGCAAUCGCGAGCAGGCUCGCUCCCACA
rnacentral:sRNA from 1 species